rnacentral:misc_RNA from 1 species
UUUCAGGUCCACUUCCGAUUUAUCAUUUUUGUUCGGUUUUAGUCUCUCUGUUGCUUUCUUUGUACGCGUAAUAAACACGUAUCCAGUGAAAUGACGCUUUUAACAUUUUAGUAUCUGCCAAUUUAGUUUGAUUCAUUGACUUCCGUUUCUAUUUUCCAUUUUGUGAAUUGAUUUUCUAUUUUAUGUGGACUGAUCAUGAAAUUUUAAUUUCUUACGAUUUCUCAGCAACCAAGCAGAUUUUUUCCCUCUUAAAAACACACCUACAAAAAACAAAAAAUCCGUGGAAGUUGCUUGUUAGCUGUGAGAGAUAUACAUAAAAGCUCCGAUUUUUCCUCAAAAUAUCCUUUUUUUUUUAAAUUUUCAACAUUUAUUUGUAUUUGAUUUUCUGGGGAAUUAACGUGGGCUUUUAUUGAUCGACAAUGGCCACUGGAACGGAACUCGAGAAACCUGAACCUGUCCCUACAGGAUUGAAGUCAGAGCCCCUGACAAAAUUGGCUGGGCAUGAUGUGGCUUCUGGAAAAGAUGGAAUGCCUUCUGACUUAACCUCAUCCAAUUGCUCUUCAGGGGAUGCUACCUCUAAUACCAAAGGUGAAGGGGAUGGUAAUUCUGGCAGCAAAGGGGAGGCUGAUCAAGAAUCAGUUGAAGAGCGCAGUGUUCAGAAUCCACCUACCAAUAGUUACAAUUAUUACUACCCAGGUGGAAUAUUGAGACAAUUAUAUGCUCUUAUAUUAUAUAUGAUAUCUAGGAAUUUUUACAAAGUCAAUUCAAUGGAAGGUCAUAAUCUUAAUUAAAGUACUCAAAUGAUAGGUGAUCAGUGAAGUUGAGAUGUGUACUAAUUUACUCAAUGUAUUGCAUAAAAUGACAUUAAUCAGCUUCAUGAUUAAGUAUUGGUUUUUUGCUUCACUUCCAUACAGGCAGAAUGAUUUUCAGGCUAAUGGUGUGAUUAUGUGAAAAGGGAAAAGACUAUUUACUUUAGCAUGUUUUCAAUCAUGAUAACUAUGAAAGGCCUUAAUGUCAUAUUCAAUGCUUGAUUAUAACUAGAUUACUAGAAUGGCUGAAUUUCUAGUGUUACAGGCACUAUUGUUUUUAUUUUUAGUUUUUGAGACAGUUGUAACUCAUGCACAAUCUUUAGAUGCGCUGGGUACCAUGAGAGUAGUUAAGUUGCUUUUUUGUUGGACCGCUACUUAGGACUUGAGGUGCUCUUAUAUUUUCUGCAAGAGCUUUUGAGAUCUGCUAAAAAAUUCUUGCAGGACUUGGCACACCUAAUGGUGGAGGAUGUUCUUAUGUGUACUCUAGAUUUAAUGAGUUCAUGUGACUAGGUGGUGGAUGAGAUGAUGGCAAUAGUGAGGUGGCCUAGAUUGCAAAAUGCAAUUAUAAAUACUCUUAAGAAGGCUAUACUGCCAUGGAAUGACCAAUGUCUUUGAGGAUAUAGCGUACCCUUCACACAAUUGGAUGAUCAUGGUUAUUUUCAAGCAGAUGGAUCUCAUAUGGUAUGUUCUUCUGACGUAUACUUAUAUUUCUAUUUGCAAAAAUUAGGCAAAACUAUGUCUCGUUCUGCUUGGCUGAUAAGGGUAGUUUUGUAUAAUUGUGUCUUGUUGAUAAUUGAUACUAGUGUAUCGGUUGAUCACAUCAGGGAUGCAAUCAGACAAUGGAUAACUAGUCUAUUAUUUACCUGGCCAUAAUCCAUAUGCUUCUGGGGCAGUGGUUGGGGUAGAUGGGCAAAGUGUUGGUCAACAAGCAUAUUUUUCUUCACCUGGAUACCUUCCACAUCCUGUUUUCUAUGGAUCAGAAGCCAUGCCUUGCUAUUCAUGGGAUUCAGCAUAUUUUAGUGAUGUCUCAAAUGGCAAUACUGGUUCUCAAAAUGGAAAAUAUGGAUCAGCUUCGACUUUUGCCAUGUCCAGUGGUUUUAACUCUAUGAAGUCUAAUGACAGUACU